UCGCUGCGGGAUUGUGGGUGAUCAUUUCCCAUGCUAGUGAUAGUGAAAGUCAUUCUACACAAUAAUCCUCCUCUUUCUUGUCUCCCUUGCACCAGCCAUGAAGGUUUUCAAAGAGCCUCUAUGAGAAGAAUGAAAACAAAAAAUAUCAAAGUCAAGGAAUGCUACAAUUUUUACAACAAACAUGAAAAGACAUCUAUGGGAGCUUGUGGAAUUAAGUCACUAUUGCUUCACACACAGCGGCACAGCACAUAAAGAAAGGCUGCAACCAAAGAUUUCUCUGAAGGCACAGCAACAAAGGAAUCUAUGAAAAACAUAUGAUGCUUCGCUGAUAAGCAAAGAAACAAAGGGAGGCCCCAUAAGAAAGAGCUGACCAGAAACUACAGAAUGCUGUUGGGCUUUGCUCCAGUAGCUUUGCAGCUGAUGAAUAUGAGAGGAGGCAUCAGAUAAGCUUACUACAUGAUUUAAUAACUGCAUCAGUUCAACAGCCAUGUCAGCAGAUGUCCAGCCUAGUAAAUCUACUUAUUGCUUCUAAAAGGUCAGCAGCAGCUGAAUGAGGCAGCAAACUGGGGAAUGUGACAAAGAUGUAGAACCCUGGAUGAUUUAAAAACAGAAUAUGAUUCAAGCAAUGGCUCAGAAUAAUUCAAGGACUUCAAAAAUCAUCUAGCCAAACCCUGCCAAUGCCAUAAAUCCACUACUACAGCAUUACUGAUGAGUGGCCAGUUGCCACUUAAAAACUUCUGACAAAGGACAUUCACAAUGUAUGAGACAAACUGUUCCAACGCUCAACAACUCAUAUCCCCAGGAAGCUCUGCUGAAAGUAGAGGGAGUUCCAUCCAUCAAAUUCUGCUCCUCAAGAAGCAGAAACAUGGAAUUUUCCAGGUGGAUAAAUUGCUCCCUGCUUCUUCCUACAACAAUA